CUCCAAUCAGUGAAACUGAUCUCCCCGUGAAGAAGCGGGGAUAAAAAUAUAAGACGAGAAGACCCCAUGGAGCUUUAAACCUGACAACACCCAUUUAUCUUUUACCCUAGUAUUCAUUAGGCCCUGUUUGUUUGGUUUUAGGUUGGGGUGACCACGGAGUAUAAAAUAACCUCCAAGAAAAAUGGACCAACAAUCCUUAUCAAAGAACUACAAUUCUAUGAAUUAAUAAAUUAAUUUUUAAUGACCCGAUA
rnacentral:rRNA from 1 species